rnacentral:rRNA from 1 species
GAAGACUCUGCUUGACUAGCUGAGAGGAGGUGCAUGGCCGUCGUCAGUUCGUACUGUGAAGCAUCCUGUUAAGUCAGGCAACGAGCGAGACCCACGCCCACAGUUGCCAGCGUACUCUCUGGAGUGACGGGUACACUGUGGGGACCGCCGCUGCUAAAGCGGAGGAAGGAAUGGGCAACGGUAGGUCAGUAUGCCCCGAAUAUCCCGGGCUACACGCGAGCUACAAUGGUUGGUACAAUGGGUAUCUACCCGAAAGGGGACGGGAAUCUCCUAAAACCAAUCUUAGUUCGGAUUGAGGGCUGCAACUCGCCCUCAUGAAGCUGGAAUCCGUAGUAAUCGCGUUUCAACAGAACGCGGUGAAUACGUCCCUGCUCCUU